rnacentral:rRNA from 1 species
UACGUAGGGUGCGAGCGUUAAUCGGAAUUACUGGGCGUAAAGCGUGCGCAGGCUGCUUCGCAAGUCAGGCGUGAAAUCCCCGGGCUUAACCUGGGAAUGGCGUCUGAAACUACGGAGCUGGAGUGUGGCAGAGGGAGGUAGAAUUCCACGUGUAGCGGUGAAAUGCGUAGAGAUGUGGAGGAAUACCGAUGGCGAAGGCAGCCUCCUGGUUCAAUACUGACGCUGAGGUGCGAAAGCGUGGGGAGCAAACAGG